rnacentral:RNase_P_RNA from 2 species
CGAGCCGGGCGGACGGCCGCGUGGGGAUCCCUGUGAUCCUCCCGAGGAACGUCCGGGCUCCACAGGGCAGGGUGGUGGGUAACGCCCACCCGGGGUGACCCGCGGGACAGUGCCACAGAGAACAGACCGCCGGGGACCUCGGUCCUCGGUAAGGGUGAAACGGUGGUGUAAGAGACCACCAGUGCCCAGGGUGACCUGGGCAGCUAGGUAAACCCCACCCGGAGCAAGGUCAAGAGGGGCCGCGCGAGCGGCCCUGCGCGAACGUUCGAGGGCUGCCCGCCCGAGUUCGCGGGUAGACCGCACGAGGCCGGUGGCAACACCGGUCCUAGAUGGAUGGCCGUCACCCCGACGACCGCGAGGUCCCGGGGUACAGAACCCGGCGUAUGUCCCGGCUCGUCUG